rnacentral:lncRNA from 1 species
CAUGGGAAGGGAAGAACAAGUUGGCGCUAGUGAAUGAACUGGAGUGGUGUUAUCCUUCUGCCCUGGCUCUGAACUCUGUGUCAGGAGCCAAGAGACCAAUAGUGGACCUGCCUGAAGGGGUUUAGCGCCUUCCAUGAUGACAAGCUCUUUGGCGGCAUCUACACAGCAUAAGCGUGGAGACCUGGUGUGCAGCCGCCGGACCCGAAGGCAGGCUCCUUCCUGGAUGAGCAGGCGAGGAUGGCAGCGUUGUCUCUGGAUCCAGAAGGCCAGUGGUGGAAGCCGAAGGCCAGGCCAGGCUGCGUGGGGCCGAGACCCCUCCUCUGGCGGUGGUGGCAGGAGAGAUCCCAAGGAGUGGAGCCAUUCCCUGGGGAAGCCCCUGAAAGUGCAACAGUGGGUGUGACAGAGGAGCAGCAAUGGGCUGGAGACCUUCAGGGGCCAGGGACCUCCGUCGUCAAUGUUUGGGUCCCGGCCGGGAUGGACUUGGGUGAUGGAGAAGCCUGGUCCAGUGACUCUUCAGUGGGAAGACCGGGGCGCAGGGAAGAAGGUGUCACGAGACCGGCCUGGUGGAUGCAGGUUAUCUGAUGGAUGGCUCAAGGGGGCCCGGACUCUGUCCUGGCAGGGAUCUGUGUCCUUGUGAAGAAACGGUGGUCCCGUUUAGGGGACUGAGUGCAGCCCAGCCCCAGCCUGACCUUCAACCCCCAAGCCCUGAGGUUCUGCCUCCUUGGGCUCGUAGCAGAAUCACCUGGACCCCGGGGAAGGAGCAGAACCGGCUGACGCUUGAGUCCGCUGAGUGCAGAAAGGGCGAGUCAGUGGCGGUCCUCCUCGCUUUCCCUGUCUCUCUGUCACUGUCCCUGACUCUCUGUCUCGGUGGCUCUGCCUCGGUCUGUCCCUCUUGUCUCUCGCCUGGCUCUCUCUGUCGCCGUACGGGUCUCUUUCCUUUCUGGCAGCUUCGCGUCUGUGUGGUGGGGUGCACACCAGACCCCGGCGAGCCGAUUGGGCCCGUUUCCCUGGUGAGACCCCUAGACGAUUCCUGGGGCCGAGACCCCUCCUCUGGCGGUGGUGGCAGGAGAGAUCCCAAGAGUGUGUACCCCUCAGAGCAAUUGCACUGGAGAUGCUUUAGCAUCUUCCGUACGGACCCGAGCUCUGGGAUUGCCUCUGAACAUACGUGUUAGGACAUGGGAGAGUCACAGGACAUGCUCCCGCUCUUUCGGCUUCUGCUGAGCUCAAGAUUGUCAGGCCGCCUCCGCGCCAGCAAAGAAGCGAAGGAGGGUGCACCGGACCUGAAUGCAGCUUUCUUCCUUGAUGAGCAGGACAGGAGCUCAAAGGGAUGUUGGCCUCCGCUGGGAUGAAGGCUCUCCUCUUGGAGUUGUUCUAGGAGAGACCAAGGGCCACACCCGCGGCAUUUGGAAGUUUCUAGGCUAGGGGUCGAAUCGGAGCCAUAGCCGCCGGCCUACACCACAGCCACAGCAACACAGGAUCCAAGCCACAUCUGCAGCCUACGCCACAGCUCAAGCCACGCUGGAUCCCUAACCCACGGCGCAAGGCCAGGAAUUGAGCUCCCUUCUUCGUGGAUACCAGUCGGGUUUGUUACCGCUGAGCCACAAUGGGAACUCCCCAGCAUAACUGUUUUAAAAAGAUAUAUUACUGUGAGAAUAAACUUACCUAAUAAG